CUGUACUAAAAUGGCGAAUCUGUUGACGCAUUCCGUCCACAACACAACAUUAGGGUAGGCGACAUUUAACGUAUAUAUCUAUGGACGCUAACAAGUAUUCACGUCGUAUCAUGCUCAACUCUUAAUACUCUUUUACGCACUUUGAGAGUGUUUGCGUUAUUUCAGAGAGAUAUUUAAGCACAUAUGAAGUAACAGUGCCAUCUGUGUACUAUAGCUACACAAUGCAGCAUUUAGCUCGCUCGUAAACAUCGCUGCUGUCCUCAGAUCAUUGUCUGAGCAGAAGUUUCAUCAUUAGCCCUGACUGUCAGAUGCUCUUCAUCUCAGGAGCUGUAUUUUUAGAUGCUCGAUAACAGAUAUAAGGUGAGUUAAUAGAACACAGCCAGGAACUCUUCUGCGCGAGUCAGCGUGACGUGCGUGCGCGGGCUCAUCAUUUGAAUUAAAUAACGGAUACAAGCAACGGGCGGAACGGUAAUCAAAGUUUCGCUGGAAUCUCCAAUUGAAAACAUCAUCGUGUGCGCUUAGACUUCUGUUCCAGUUCUGACUACACACCACUCUGCUUAUGUGGAUCACUGACUACUAUGUUCUCUGAAGUGGGGGAAACCGGAGCACCUGGAGGAAACCCACGCAAACUCCACACAGAGACGCCAACUGACCCAGCCAAGGCUCGAACCAACGACCUUCUUGCUGUGAGGCGCCACUGCAGCGCAGAACCUGAAGCAGGUGCAGCCAAACUGCGACACAACAGCCACGGAAUUUACAGGGCCGUGAGAGAUCACCUGUACGGUCUGGCGGUGGCAGACGCAGAGCGGAAAAACUAUCUGAUGCUUUUGUUGUUGUUAAUGUUAAAUUGACUAAUACAUGUUUUGUCAUUACUUUUGUCUGCAAAUAUUAGGCUAAUAAAUAAUAUUUUUUAAACAAAAUGUUGAAUUUCUGAAUCAUGUGAAUUUUCUAAAACGUUUAUAAAGGUAUUUCUCACAACCAAAUUUCGACUUAAAAUUGACGUAUUUUUCGUUGUUUGGACGUCUUACAAUUACGUCUUUUGGACGACAUGAAAAAGACGUCUUUUCACGUUUCACUUUUCCACCUGUUUUCCACGUUGUUUGGACGCCUUACAAUUACGUCUUUUCGACGACGUUAAAAAGACGUAGUUUCGUCUUUCACUUUCCCACCUGUUUUCCACGUUGUUUGGACGUCUGACAAUGUCGUCUUUUCGACGUCUAUUCGACGAACUAUUGCUGGGUGGGGAGCUCAUCUGUUUGUCGGAACU